rnacentral:lncRNA from 1 species
UUGGCUGAUGGGUAUAACAAGGGCACUGGAUUAGGUGCUGAGAUUAUUGGUACUUUUGUUCUUGUCUACACUGUCUUCUCUGCUACUGAUCCCAAGAGGAAUGCAAGAGAUUCCCAUGUUCCUGUAUGUACCUGAUUCUUUAAUUUACCUCUUUAAUUUUUCUUUUUCUUGUUAUUUUGCGUUUAGGUUCAUUUAAUUUCUUUUGUUGGGAUCUGAAGUCAUUUUCUUGCUGGCUUUGUUAGUUUUUCUCAUCUCAAGGUCUUGAUUUCUGGAACCUUUACUUUCUCCACACUCUUAUUAUGUUAGGUUUUUGAUUUGGACAGCAAGCACAAGAUAACACUAAUGUCUUCUAUCAGUACUAAUUUAUCAACUUUAUUUAUGCUUUCAUAAAUAAUAAAUUAAUUUUUUCAUCUUCAUCCUUUGUACAUGACCAUUACUUCAAUUUUUAAAUAAUUUAUUAUAAUAUAGACAAAUUAAGAAUAAUAUAGUCUAUUCAUUCAAUAAUUUAUUAUAAUUUGAAUAAAUUAAAUGAUUUGUUAUUAGAGGAUAGAGGAGUAUAAGUUUAGAAUUUGCACAUAAAUUAAUGAAUUAUUGUAAAAUAUUAAAUUUAAAUUAAAAAUUAAUGUUCUCCUUUAUUAGGUUUUCUUCUAUAAUCAACAAACUUUUUCGUUAUAUUUUACUAUUUAGUUAUUAUAAUUUGUUUCAUGUCUAAUUUUUAAGAGUGUCCUAUCCUCUUUUAUAAUUUGUACUAAUUUGAAGUUGAUUAAUAAAAUUUUAAAAAAUUAUCUUAAGAAAAUUAAAAUUUCAAAUUCUAGUAACCUUUUAGUCUUAUUUUAUUUUUUGGAAUUGGUAAAAGGUGUCAUGUCACAAUCAAUUUAAUUAGUGGCACAAAUUGGAUUUUCACUAAACAAAAAAAUGCUAAACCCACUACAAAGCUUACAUGAUUUGAUUUUUUUUUUUUUUUUUAUCUUCUUAAUUAAGGUUUUGGCCCCUCUUCCAAUUGGGUUUGCUGUGUUCAUGGUUCACCUUGCCACAAUUCCAAUUACUGGCACUGGCAUCAACCCUGCUAGGAGUUUUGGAGCUGCUGUUAUCUACAACAAAGACAAGGCAUGGGAUGAUCAGGUAAAAAGAAAUAAUAAUUAUAAUAGUAAAAAACUAUUUUCACUAAUAAUUUUAGUUACUGAGACCAGUAAACUUUAGCUCAAUAGUCUUGAAGUUUUUCUAGAGUUGAGAAGUUCCAAAUUUUAAUGAACUAAAUUAAUUAAAAGAUACAUAUUUUUAAAAUUUUUUUUAUUGAUUUUGUGGUAAUUUAUUGUAUUCUGCAGUGGAUUUUCUGGGUUGGACCUUUUGUUGGAGCUGCCAUUGCUGCUUUCUAUCACCAGUACAUCCUCAGAGCAGCAGCUAUUAAAGCUCUAGGAUCUUUCAGGAGCAAUGCUUAAU